rnacentral:rRNA from 1 species
UUGCACGCUAGCGGGAUGCUUUACCCCUGCCAGUCGCACGGCAGCGCGGACUUCGGUCUGGCGGCGAGUGGCGAACGGGUGAGUAAUGUAUCGGAACGUGCCCAGUAGCGGGGGAUAACUACGCGAAAGCGUAGCUAAUACCGCAUACGCCCUACGGGGGAAAGCAGGGGAUCGUAAGACCUUGCACUAUUGGAGCGGCCGAUAUCGGAUUAGCUAGUUGGUGAGGUAACGGCUCACCAAGGCGACGAUCCGUAGCUGGUUUGAGAGGGCGACCAGCCACACUGGGACUGAGACACGGCCCAGACUCCUACGGGAGGCAGCAGUGGGGAAUUUUGGACAAUGGGGGCAACCCUGAUCCAGCCAUCCCGCGUGUGCGAUGAAGGCCUUCGGGUUGUAAAGCACUUUUGGCAGGAAAGAAGCGUCGCGGGCUAAUACCCCGUGGAACUGACGGUACCUGCAGAAUAAGCACCGGCUAACUACGUG